GACGGAGGAUGCAAGUGUUAUCCGGAAUCACUGGGCGUAAAGCGUCUGUAGGUGGUUUAAUAAGUCAACUGUUAAAUCUUGAGGCUCAACCUCAAAAUCGCAGUCGAAACUAUUAGGCUAGAGUAUAGUAGGGGUAAAGGGAAUUUCCAGUGGAGCGGUGAAAUGCGUAGAGAUUGGUAAGAACACCGAUGGCGAAGGCACUUUACUGGGCUAUUACUAACACUCAGAGACGAAAGCUAGGGUAGCAAAUGGG
rnacentral:rRNA from 1 species